rnacentral:rRNA from 1 species
AUUGAACGCUGGCGGAAUGCUUUACACAUGCAAGUCGAACGGCAGCACGGGGGCAACCCUGGUGACGAGUGGCGAACGGGUGAGUAAUACAUCGGAACGUGCCCAGUCGUGGGGGAUAACGUAGCGAAAGUUACGCUAAUACCGCAUACGAUCUACGGAUGAAAGCGGGGGACCGUAAGGCCUCGCGCGAUUGGAGAGGCCGAUGUCAGGUUAGGUAGUUGGUGAGGUAAAGGCUCACCAAGCCGACGAUCUGUAGCUGGUCUGAGAGGACGACGAGCCACACUGGGACUGAGACCCGGCCCAGACUCCUACGGGAGGCAGCAGUGGGGAAUUUUGGACAAUGGGCGCAAGCCCGAUCCAGCCAUUCCGCGUGCAGGACGAAGGCCUUCGGGUUGUAAACUGCUUUUGUACGGAACGAAAAGGCUCUGGUUAAUACCUGGGGCUCAUGACGGUACCGUAAGAAUAAGCACCGGCUAACUACGUGCCAGCAGCCGCCGUAA